rnacentral:rRNA from 1 species
CAGGCCUAACACAUGCAAGUCGAGCGGACCAUUCCUUCGGGGAUGGUUAGCGGCGGACGGGUGAGUAACACGUAGGCAACCUGCCUGUAAGAUCGGGAUAACUACCGGAAACGGUAGCUAAGACCGGAUAGCUGGUUUCCCCGCAUGGGGGAAUCAUGAAACACGGGGCAACCUGUGGCUUACGGAUGGGCCUGCGGCGCAUUAGCUAGUUGGUGGGGUAACGGCCCACCAAGGCGACGAUGCGUAGCCGACCUGAGAGGGUGAUCGGCCACACUGGGACUGAGACACGGCCCAGACUCCUACGGGAGGCAGCAGUAGGGAAUCUUCCGCAAUGGGCGCAAGCCUGACGGAGCAACGCCGCGUGAGUGAUGAAGGUUUUCGGAUCGUAAAGCUCUGUUGCCAAGGAAGAACGCCUCGGAGAGUAACUGCUCUGAGGGUGACGGUACUUGAGAAGAAAGCCCCGGCUAACUACGUGCCAGCAGCCGCGGUAAUACGUAGGGGGCAAGCGUUGUCCGGAAUUAUUGGGCGUAAAGCGCGCGCAGGCGGUCUUUUAAGUUUGGUGUUUAAGCCCGGGGCUCAACCCCGGUUCGCACUGAAAACUGGGAGACUUGAGUGCAGGAGAGGAAAGCGGAAUUCCACGUGUAGCGGUGAAAUGCGUAGAGAUGUGGAGGAACACCAGUGGCGAAGGCGGCUUUCAGGACUGUAACUGACGCUGAGGCGCGAAAGCGUGGGGAGCAAACAGGAUUAGAU